CUGGGAUUGGCUCCUGUUUGGGCUACUUCCUGAAUAAACAAAAACAGAGGAGAACAGCUGGGCAGGUUUUGGCCCAAAGCUAAACUGCAGAAGACGCUGUUAAAAGACACCUUAGUGGGAUUCCACCUUCUCCCACUGUGUGUGUGUCCGGGACAGAGCGUCUGGAUGUAAUCUGCCAUGUGAGGGAGCAGGGGGCAUUACAGUAAGAGAGAAAGUGAAACUCUUAGGAAAUUGUAAAGUUCUUGGGAGGAGUCACAAGAAACAACGACUUCACUGAGAAGGAUGAUGGAGAAAGGAUAUGAGAUUCUCUCAAAUAACACGUAUACAAAUACUGUCAGUGUUAAUAUCACAGGGUCUUGGACGAAAGGAGAGACUCAGAUGUAGCGUUUGCAACGCUGAGUAUCAGCUGCAGAGAUGUGCACCUUGGCGGACUGUGGCCUCUCAGUGGCAGACCUGGUCCAUUCUCACCAUAGCUGUUCUCCUGCUGGCUCUGGUGCCAUUCGUGGUGUACCAGAUGACGACUGCUUUUGACAGUCCCCAUCCACACUCGCUCUUCAAGUCAGCUGCAAUCUGCUUUGGCCUGCUUAGUGAAGCCCUGUUGCUCAAGUGCUUGUGCAGUUACUUCAGCCACCGACUCCAGCGAGCAGAGCUAAGCUCCUUUAGCCUCCAACCUCGCAGAUCUGAGGAGCAUGAAGUCCAAACUAAUCUGAGUCAGUGCACCACGGCAGGGGUCAAAGGUUAGGACUCACAGACAUUGGCGGGAGAGAGGAACCACUUGGUUGUAAGCUCUGAGAGGACAGUAUCAGGGCUUCCACCGUUAAAUAUGACCAGAGGGAAUAAGACCUGUGGUGCAAGAAGAAGAAUAAAAAGAAAAAGACUGACUUAUUUAAAUGUCUG
ensembl:lncRNA